CGCUGCCUGUUGCCACCACGAGAGGUGGGACGUCAGGCGGGACCGCCGGUGACAAACCGGAGGAAGGUGGGGACGGACGUCAAGUCAUCAUGGCCCUUAUGUCCUGGGCUACACACGUGCUACAAUGGCCGGUACAGAGCGCAGCGAGGCCGCGAGGCGGAGCGAAUCGCUUAAAGCCGGUCCCAGUACGGAUUGGAGUCUGCAACCCGACUCCAUGAAGUUGGAAUCGCUAGUAAUCGCGCAUCAGCAUGGCGCGGUGAAUACGUUCCCGGGCCUU
rnacentral:rRNA from 1 species